rnacentral:rRNA from 1 species
UAAAGUCUAACCUGCCCACUGAAAAAUUUUAAAUGGCCGCAGUAUUUUAACUGUGCAAAGGUAGCAUAAUCAUUAGUCUUUUAAUUGAAGGCUGGAAUGAAUGGUUGGACGAGAUAUUAACUGUUUCAUUUAAAUUUUUUAUAGAAUUUUAUUUUUUAGUCAAAAAGCUAAAAUUUAUUUAAAAGACGAGAAGACCCUAUAAAUCUUUAUAUUUUAUUUAUUUUAAUUAUAAAGAUUAUUUUUAUUAUAAUAAAUUAAAAUAUUUUAUUGGGGUGAUAUUAAAAUUUAAAAAACUUUUAAUGAUUUAAAUCAUUAAUGUAUGAAUAUUUGAUCCAUUUAUAAUGAUAAAAAAUUUAAGUUACUUUAGGGAUAACAGCGUAAUUUUUUUGGAGAGUUCAUAUCGAUAAAAAAGAUUGCGACCUCGAUGUUGGAUUAAGAGAUAAUUUUGGGUGUAGCCGUUCAAAUUUUAAGUCUGUUC